CGGCCUUUUGGCUAAGAUCAAGUGUAGU
rnacentral:piRNA from 4 species